AACGAACGCUGGCGGCAUGCCUAAUACAUGCAAGUCGAACGAGAUCUUCGGAUCUAGUGGCGCACGGGUGCGUAACGCGUGGGAAUCUGCCCUUGGGUUCGGAAUAACGUCGGGAAACUGACGCUAAUACCGGAUGAUGACGAAAGUCCAAAGAUUUAUCGCCCAGGGAUGAGCCCGCGUAGGAUUAGCUAGUUGGUGAGGUAAAGGCUCACCAAGGCUACGAUCCUUAGCUGGUCUGAGAGGAUGAUCAGCCACACUGGGACUGAGACACGGCCCAGACUCCUACGGGAGGCAGCAGUAGGGAAUAUUGGACAAUGGGGGCAACCCUGAUCCAGCAAUGCCGCGUGAGUGAUGAAGGCCUUAGGGUUGUAAAGCUCUUUUACCCGAGAUGAUAAUGACAGUAUCGGGAGAAUAAGCUCCGGCUAACUCCGUGCCAGCAGCCGCGGUAAUACGGAGGGAGCUAGCGUUGUUCGGAAUUACUGGGCGUAAAGCGCACGUAGGCGGCGAUUUAAGUCAGAGGUGAAAGCCCGGGGCUCAACCCCGGAACUGCCUUUGAGACUGGAUUGCUUGAAUCCGGGAGAGGUGAGUGGAAUUCCGAGUGUAGAGGUGAAAUUCGUAGAUAUUCGGAAGAACACCAGUGGCGAAGGCGGCUCACUGGACAGGUAUUGACGCUGAGGUGCGAAAGCGUGGGGAGCAAACAGG
rnacentral:rRNA from 1 species